GCGCAGAGUAGAAGCGUUCAGCCGCACGAUGUUCCACGCAGCAUCCAGGCAGGAAAUUGCUCUUUCA
rnacentral:ncRNA from 2 species